CCCUAAAAGCUUUAUUUUAUGUGCAAAGUUAGUUUUAGUGUAUUGAUAGGAUUCUUUGUUGGUAAGUUAGCUGGGGUAGCUGUUCUAGGUAAAUUAGAGUGUUAUAUUAUACUUAAUGAAGGGUUUAUGGUCCUGUUUAUACGGAUAAUUAGAGUUAGUUACUUUAGGGAUAACAGCGCAAUAUUUUUGGGGAGAUCAUAUCUAUAUAGGUGAUUGCGACCUCGAUGUUGAAUUAAAAGUUCCCCGUGGGGCAGAGA
rnacentral:rRNA from 1 species